rnacentral:rRNA from 1 species
UCGAGCGGUAACAGAAAGUACCUUGCUACUUUGCUGACGAGCGGCGGACGGGUGAGUAAUGCUUGGGAACAUGCCUUGAGGUGGGGGACAACAGUUGGAAACGACUGCUAAUACCGCAUAAUGUCUACGGACCAAAGGGGGCUUCGGCUCUCGCCUUUAGAUUGGCCCAAGUGGGAUUAGCUAGUUGGUGAGGUAAUGGCUCACCAAGGCAACGAUCCCUAGCUGGUUUGAGAGGAUGAUCAGCCACACUGGAACUGAGACACGGUCCAGACUCCUACGGGAGGCAGCAGUGGGGAAUAUUGCACAAUGGGCGAAAGCCUGAUGCAGCCAUGCCGCGUGUGUGAAGAAGGCCUUCGGGUUGUAAAGCACUUUCAGUCAGGAGGAAAGGGUGUGAGUUAAUACCUCAUAUCUGUGACGUUACUGACAGAAGAAGCACCGGCUAACUCCGUGCCAGCAGCCGCGGUAAUACGGAGGGUGCGAGCGUUAAUCGGAAUUACUGGGCGUAAAGCGUACGCAGGCGGUUUGUUAAGCGAGAUGUGAAAGCCCCGGGCUCAACCUGGGAACUGCAUUUCGAACUGGCAAACUAGAGUGUGAUAGAGGGUGGUAGAAUUUCAGGUGUAGCGGUGAAAUGCGUAGAGAUCUGAAGGAAUACCGAUGGCGAAGGCAGCCACCUGGGUCAACACUGACGCUCAUGUACGAAAGCGUGGGGAGCAAACGGGAUUAGAUACCCCGGUAGUCCACGCCGUAAACGAUGUCUACUAGAAGCUCGGAACCUCGGUUCUG